rnacentral:rRNA from 1 species
UGGGGAAUUUUGGACAAUGGGCGAAAGCCUGAUCCAGCAAUGCCGCGUGUGUGAAGAAGGCCUUCGGGUUGUAAAGCACUUUUGUCCGGAAAGAAAUCCUUGGCUCUAAUACAGUCGGGGGAUGACGGUACCGGAAGAAUAAGCACCGGCUAACUACGUGCCAGCAGCCGCGGUAAUACGUAGGGUGCAAGCGUUAAUCGGAAUUACUGGGCGUAAAGCGUGCGCAGGCGGUUUGCUAAGACCGAUGUGAAAUCCCCGGGCUCAACCUGGGAACUGCAUUGGUGACUGGCAGGCUAGAGUAUGGCAGAGGGGGGUUAGAAUUCCACGUGUAGCAGUGAAAUGCGUAGAGAUGUGGAGGAAUACCGAUGGCGAAGGCAGCCCCCUUGGGCCAAGUACUGACGCUCAUGCACGAAAGGCGUGGGGAG